GAUGAACGCUGGCGGCGUGCCUAAUACAUGCAAGUCGAGCGAACAGACGAGGAGCUUGCUCCUCUGACGUUAGCGGCGGACGGGUGAGUAACACGUGGAUAACCUACCUAUAAGACUGGGAUAACUUCGGGAAACCGGAGCUAAUACCGGAUAAUAUAUUGAACCGCAUGGUUCAAUAGUGAAAGACGGUUUUGCUGUCACUUAUAGAUGGAUCCGCGCCGCAUUAGCUAGUUGGUAAGGUAACGGCUUACCAAGGCAACGAUGCGUAGCCGACCUGAGAGGGUGAUCGGCCACACUGGAACUGAGACACGGUCCAGACUCCUACGGGAGGCAGCAGUAGGGAAUCUUCCGCAAUGGGCGAAAGCCUGACGGAGCCACGCCGCGUGAGUGAUGAAGGUCUUCGGAUCGUAAAACUCUGUUAUUAGGGAAGAACAAAUGUGUAAGUAACUAUGCACGUCUUGCCGGUACCUAAUCAGAAAGCCACGGCUACCUACGU
rnacentral:rRNA from 1 species